rnacentral:rRNA from 1 species
GAUGAACGCUGGCGGCGUGCCUAAUACAUGCAAGUCGAGCGAACAGACGAGGAGCUUGCUCCUCUGACGUUAGCGGCGGACGGGUGAGUAACACGUGGAUAACCUACCUAUAAGACUGGGAUAACUUCGGGAAACCGGAGCUAAUACCGGGUAAUAUAUUGAACCGCAUGGUUCAAUAGUGAAAGACGGUUUUGCUGUCACUUAUAGAUGGAUCCGCGCCGCAUUAGCUAGUUGGUAAGGUAACGGCUUACCAAGGCAACGAUGCGUAGCCGACCUGAGAGGGUGAUCGGCCACACUGGAACUGAGACACGGUCCAGACUCCUACGGGAGGCAGCAGUAGGGAAUCUUCCGCAAUGGGCGAAAGCCUGACGGAGCAACGCCGCGUGAGUGAUGAAGGUCUUCGGAUCGUAAAACUCUGUUAUUAGGGAAGAACAGAUGUGUAAGUAACUAUGCACGUCUUGACGGUACCUAAUCAGAAAGCCACGGCUAACUACGUG